AUGUCCUCCAAGGAGAGCACUCACGGAUGGAGCAGUGCAGAGCAGGAAAAGGAUGAUUUCCACCCUCGGACUGACACUGACCCAACGACCAACUGCGUGAACAACUGCAGAGACGACGGCAACUGCAGGGGCAGCAGGAAGUGUUGCCACAUCAGGUGUCCGUUCCGCUGCCCACAGCCGGUACCAGGUAAGGGCAGUCGGGGCUCUGGGCUUGGUACCAUGGCUGGGACAUUCCCCAUGGGAAUGAGCCCUUCUCCUUCCCCAUCUGCAGCCAGACCGGACACCUAUCCCAAGAAGAAGGUGCCGCACAUCAUCGGCUGCUGCAACAGCACCUGCAGCAGUGACACCGACUUCCCCAACCACCUGCGGUGCUGCCAACCCAUGCGCAGGAGCUCCAGGAUCACCGUCGCUCUGUCCCUGUUGGACUUGGGCUGCUGGUGGUGCUCUGAUCCCGAGAAGCUGUGCCGCCUGAUCCCGGAGCAUCGCCUCUGCAGGAAACGCACCUAUUGCUAUGCCUGCAUCCCCGCCUUGAGGUCGUGCCGGGUGUUUGUGCAUAGCAGCUGCGGGGGGAAUGCCAACAACUUCCGUACCCUGGCGGAGUGCCAGCAGGUCUGCCAGCACGGUGAGAGCUGGGCACGGGUGGGAGCACAGAGCAGGGUGAAGGAUGCGCAGGGCAGCACAGUGUGCGCCUGGGGAAAGCAACCAGUGCUGCUGGGGCUGCCGCUGUCAGGUCUGCCCGGAGCCCUCCCGCACAGAGCUGUGCUGCGGUGGCCAGGCAGCAGCAGCCAUGGUUGCUCGGCCGCCGUGCAUGUGGGUGCCACGCGGGGACUCGAAGCGUUCCUGCUCGGUGAUUCCAAUCAGCGCACGGCUCCAUCCUGGGAGCUGGGCUUGUCUUCGGCAUGAAGCAGGUGACGCUCUUAGCAAUAAUAAUUGUGCCUGAUUAUCAAAAUAUUAAUCCUGCCAAUCCUACGCUCUCAGCCUGCACGGGAGAGGAGGAAAUGGCUCUCUUUGCAGGCGUCUUCUCCUUUCUCUGUGCACAUUCGGGAGAGCAGGCUGGGGGGACUGGCAGUGCCUCCGCAGCCCCAUGGUGGGCAGCAGCACCGGGCAGAGCCCAGCCGGUUGCAGCCCUGCUCACUGUUCUGCCUUUCUCCCCAGGGCUGCAUAAGCACUGACCUCAGGACACCACAACCCGCCCAGAUCUGCAGAGCCGACCGCUCUGCCCCAGACAAUAAAGCCGCCAGGAUGCCUGGCUUGGAGCAGCACCACCGCCUCUGUCUUGCCUUCCAAGCACAUCUGUGGGGACGCUGGGGCAGGGAUGGGGCAGGGAUGGGGCAGGGAUGGGGCAGGGACCAUGACCACAGGGCGGCAAUGGGAGAGUUGGGCAUCACUCGUGGACGCUGGGCUAAUGACAGCAGCACUGUGGCCACCUCUGCAACAUGGCUCAAUACAGCUCUGAUAGCCCCAUCCGUAAUGGCCCCAGCCGGGUGGCACAGAGCCGGGGGGAUGGGGCUGCCCGAGGUCUGGCUGCAGCUCCGGACCAUGGCACAGCCCGGCUGGAGGCACAGGAAGGCGGCCUCCCCAAAUGGGGUUUUUAUUACAGCCAUACAUCACGGCAGCGGCCCGAUGUGGGCAGACGGAGGUGAUUUUUCUUCACGGUUUACAGACAAAUGAGGGGAAGGAGAAUUGAUGUGAACUUUGCUAUAGCGAGAGGUUGGCCAUGCGGGCAGGGCGAUGGCUGUGCUCGUGUCGGGCACUGUGCAGAGGGGCUCUGUCCCGGCCCACCCACACAGCCCGGCGUGCCCCUGCCCCACGAGCAGCCCCAGCCCCACAGGUAUCUACAGCCACGAGCCCCCCUGCAGCCCCAGUAACUGCACAUCUGCACAGGUGGAUGGGAGCAUCAAGUCUGCCUCGAGCAGUGGCUGUGGCAAUCCUCCUCCUGGGGUGAUGCUCUGUGGCUCUGAGCAGGGUUAUUAAUAGCAACUGAUGUUCAUUAACACUGCAAAUGCGGUGUGGAUGUGCAGCUCCAGGCUGGCUGUUGUUUGGUGAGAUCUAGAUUGCCCUCACCACAAUUAGAGUUGCAUCCAAACACCACAGUCCUGCCUGGUGUAAGAUAACAGUUAAUACCCUCAAAUAGUGCCUAUCAGCUUCUCCAUAAGGUCCAUAAAUAUUAAUGCAAUUCUAAUGAGUAACUUUAAGUACAUUGCAGAAAUAAAGAGUUUCCUCAGCAAUAACUCAGCAGUGAUUUGGCAUUCUGCUCAUGUAAUUCAGCUAUGAGCAAGUUCAGGGUUCCCACUGAUUGAAAGCAUGGGGGUCGAAACCGCAGCCACCU
rnacentral:lncRNA from 7 species